rnacentral:rRNA from 1 species
CAGUAGCCGCGGUAAUACGUAGGGUGCAAGCGUUAAUCGGAAUUACUGGGCGUAAAGCGUGCGCAGGCGGUUUGUUAAGACAGAUGUGAAAUCCCCGGGCUCAACCUGGGAACUGCAUUUGUGACUGGCAGGCUAGAGUAUGGCAGAGGGGGGUGGAAUUCCGCGUGUAGCAGUGAAAUGCGUAGAUAUGCGGAGGAACACCGAUGGCGAAGGCAGCCCCCUGGGCCAAUACUGACGCUCAUGCACGAAAGCGUGGGGAGCAAACAGGAUUAGAUACCCCCGUAGUCCCUGUCUCUUAUCA